ACAGAUCAGCUUCAUGAUGUAUUUUAUUUAAUUAAAUCUGAUUGAGAUGUAGAGGAGGAUGUUUUCAGAGAGGAUGAAGAGAGCAUCGUUAGACAACAGGUUUCCUGUGAACAAACCCGGCUCUGAUGACGCACCAGGAGGGAAGUGGGGAUGGGGGAGGAGGAAGAACAAACCGUUCUGGCAGAGUUUUAGAAAGUCACAGAAAGGAGAAACACGGCAGAUUUCAAAAGG